GGACUGAUCAUAAUGUCCCACAUACGAUAUGAGUCGAUAAAAAGUGCUCACUUUUUUUUAUUUAUCUUGUGAGAAUUACAACUUCAAAUAAUAGUUUUCAUCCACAUGUUUUCACUGAAGAUGAAACAUAUCGCACUCUAAACACUUGUUUUCACUCCUGGUAAGUGCUUUAUUAAUAUUAUUAAUAAUAAAACGGUUGUAAUGCAAUACAUUUUUGUCACUGUUUUUAGGGCCAGAUUUAUGAGGAUGACGGUCCCAGGGGCCCUUUUGUAACAAGCUUUUUAUAAUUACUAUUGCAAUUGCAGCAACUGUAGUUGUCCUUUCUAUAAAUGUCCCUUAGGAACUUUUUACAGGUGACUAUGCACAGGCUUGCUAGUUGUGACCAUUUUCAACAAGUUGGAGAUUGUAGACAAGAUCCAAAAAAAUUAAAGCUCCCUCACAGUGA